AUGAGCUGGCAAAUUUCUGUUACAACUCGGUUAACCAACUGGCUGCAAGUUGGAAACCUGUUGGCACUUUUAUGCAGACUGUUAAACUGUUUUUUUGUGUUUUUGAAUAUGGCAGGGCUAAAGUGUGGAAGAAGUAUUACUAAUGAUAUUGCCUUGUGGAAGUUUGAACCAGCCAAGGAUUGUAUAUGUGGAAGAUUCUCUGAAAGUUUAACCACUUCACCCAAAGAUCCCAUCUUAAGUCCCCUUAAAUGCAUGAAGUCAGUUAAAGUACGACCAUCCAUCGGAGAAAGUUCAAGUGAUGCAAAAUCUGUAACCAGCUUUGGCAAGGCAACUUCAUCAUAA